rnacentral:rRNA from 1 species
AUUGAACGCUGGCGGCAUGCCUUACACAUGCAAGUCGAACGGCAGCACGGGAGCAAUCCUGGUGGCGAGUGGCGAACGGGUGAGUAAUAUAUCGGAACGUGCCCAGUCGUGGGGGAUAACGCAGCGAAAGCUGUGCUAAUACCGCAUACGAUCUAUGGAUGAAAGCGGGGGAUCGCAAGACCUCGCGCGAUUGGAGCGGCCGAUAUCAGAUUAGCUAGUUGGUGGGGUAAAAGCCCACCAAGGCGACGAUCUGUAGCUGGUCUGAGAGGACGACCAGCCACACUGGAACUGAGACACGGUCCAGACUCCUACGGGAGGCAGCAGUGGGGAAUUUUGGACAAUGGGCGCAAGCCUGAUCCAGCAAUGCCGCGUGCAGGAUGAAGGCCUUCGGGUUGUAAACUGCUUUUGUACGGAACGAAACGGCGAGCUCUAAUACAGUUUGCUAAUGACGGUACCGUAAGAAUAAGCACCGGCUAACUACGUACCAGCCGCCGCGGUAA